GUGGGGAAUCUUCCGCAAUGGACGAAAGUCUGACGGAGCAACGCCGCGUGAGUGACGAAGGCCUUCGGGUUGUAAAGCUCUGUUGUCGGGGAAGAACACUUUGCUUGUGAAUAAUGAGCAGAGAUGACGGUACCCGACGAGGAAGCCACGGCUAACUACGUGCCAGCAGCCGCGGUAAUACGUAGGGGGCAAGCGUUAUCCGGAAUUAUUGGGCGUAAAGAGUGCGUAGGUGGUUUUGUAAGCGUAGGGUGAAAGGCAGUAGCUCAACUAUUGUUAGCCCUGCGAACUGUGAGACUUGAGUGCAGGAGAGGAAAGUGGAAUUCCUAGUGUAGCGGUGAAAUGCGUAGAUAUUAGGAGGAACACCAGUGGCGAAGGCGACUUUCUGGACUGUAACUGACACUGAGGCACGAAAGCGUGGGUAGCAAACAGGAUUAGAAACCCGUGUAGUCC
rnacentral:rRNA from 1 species